AAAACACUAGUUAAAAAAUAACAUUAGCUUGUCAAACUAGAAUUACACUUGUGUGUUUUA
rnacentral:tRNA from 1 species